AUUUUUGAAGCCUUCUACAAAAAAGAUUUAGCAAAACGUCUCUUACUUGGUAAGAGUGCUUCAAUUGAUGCAGAAAAGUCUAUGCUAUUUAAACUUAAACAAGUACAUGCAGAACCAGAAUGUACCAGGAAACAUUGAAUUAACUGUGAACAUUCUGACAACAAGUUUUUGGCCAACAUAUGUCCCUAAGGAGAUACAGUUACCUCCAGAGAUGGAAAGACUUAAGGAAAAUUUCAGAAAUUUCUACUUAAGCAAGCACAGAGGCUGGAAACUUCAAUGGCAGUCAACUCUUGGACACUGUGUCCUUAGAGCUGAAUUUA